CCUUCUCACAUCACAGCUCCUCUUCUGACUCUCACGUUCCCUCUUCCACUUUGAAGGGUCCUUCCUUGUGGCAAUGCUGGAUCAUCUCCUUAUUUUAAGGUCCUCUCCUGGGAGAAACACUUCAACUUUUGCAAAAGAUUCAUUAAUUCAUCACCAUGGCACCCAG